AGGACUGGAGUGGACUGCCUGAGGAGAGCCAGGGUACAGCAGACUGGCUUGUUCAGUAAGUGGAAGAUACUGUCACACAGAUCACUACAUAUGGACAGCUGGACCUUAGGCUAGCUUUGGGAAGCUACUACAAAAGCACUUCAAUGGCAGUUCCCAUGGACUCAGGAAGCACCGCUGACCUUCCUCCAAGCCCAGAGCACCUGGUCCAUGGCUCCCCCAGUGUGAAUCCCUGGGGCUGCUGCUUUGAGAACAGGAACCAGGACAGUCUCCAGGGAAGACCAGGAACAGGAGAGAAGCAAGAGAACAUCUGUGCAGACCCAAGCCUGGAGCAUUCUUGGCUGAGAGAACACGGGGUGUCCCUCUACUGGUGGGAUCAGUUCCCAGCGGCAUUCGGUGUCAUAGUGCAUGUGGCACUGGGCAUAAGUGACCAUGGCAGCCCAGUAUAGAGUGACACACAGAGGAGGCAGUAAUCCUUCAACUGGGAAGUCCUCUGGAGGCUGUAAAAUGAGAGACCGGAUACUGGGCCACUUUCCAAUGGUGCUGACGUGUAUCCCAGGGGUCACUGGGAAGUAAGAGUAAAAUGACUGUAUUGAUAAACCCACAUGGCACAACAGUUCAUAUCUUCAUAGAAGUUUAAAAACAGCUCCCAUUUUCUGAAAAAUAAAACAGAAA